rnacentral:rRNA from 1 species
GACGAACGCUGGCGGCGUGCUUAACACAUGCAAGUCGAGCGGUAAGGCCCUUUCGGGGUACACGAGACGGCGAACGGGUGAGUAACACGUGGGUGACCUGCCCUCAGCUCUGGGAGUAAGCCUGGGAAACCGGGUCCAAAUACCGGAUAUGACUCCAUGACGCAUGUUGUGGGGUGGAAAGCCUUGUGCGGCUGAGGAUGGGCCCGCGGCCUAUCAGCUUGUUGGUGGGGNGAUGGCCUACCAAGGCGACGACGGGUAGCCGGCCUGAGA